CUUAUAUCCUGACAGUGACAGUAGGAGACACUUCUUAUGCCAUGACAAUGACAUCAGGAGACUUUCAGUGAAUAGUCUGCAGACAAAGUAGGGUCUUAUUAACUACAGGUCAUAUUCUCAGUGAAAAGCAGAGUCAAGAAACCUAUUGCAUGUAAGCACAUUUUCAGUUGUUAGAGUUAAAUUUCUUUUUCAUUUUAAGCAGAGGAACAAGCCAUUCAAAAUCGGUCUUAUGGACAUUUUUAACCCUAAUUUUUCAAACUAUACAAUAAAACUGUACUAACUUAGGUAAAGCAUAUUUUCUAGGUCAGAAUAUUAAUAAUAGCUAACACUUAGUACCUACUUUUUAGUGAUCACCAAUCUUACUGUGCUAUUUCCUAUCACUCUUUAAAAUAUGUAAUGUUUAAUCUCAUUGUAAUGUUAUGAGAUGGGUUCUUCCUACAAAUAAGGAAACUGGGGCUCAGAGGGAUCAAAUGACUUGCUCAGAGUCAGACAAUAAGGUAGUAGAGCCAGGCUAGUGAGAAAUUUAACUCAGAGUCUGGGCUCCUAAUUACUGGGCAUACUGCACCCUCAAAAACAUGCUCUUUUACCAGAAAGGACAAGUAAACUACAAUUGCUUUUUGACAAGUUUUUUUUCUUUAAGUGACCAAAUAAAAUUUUAUUGAAGUAUUUAAAAAGUGCGCCUCUCAGCUAAGAAAAGAAUGUGAAAUUCUCAGCCCCGUGGGUGACUUUUUUUUUUAAAUUUAGAAAAAAAAAAAACAUACUGCAGUGCUCCCAUUAAAAAUACACCAAUACAAGGGGAAUGCCAAUUACCUCUGUACUUUCAGAGAGCAGAGAGUUCUUUCUUGAAAGCAGCUUUGUUUGAAAGACAAAUACUAGGAAGGAAAAGUAUUGGUAGAGUCUCAUCAGGAGGCAAGCCCUGUUCUCUGGGCUGGCAGCCAUCUCCCAGUUAGUUCUCAGAAAUGUUUAGGAUGCUGGCUUUCUCCAAACUGGAGUUAAAGGAAAGUCAUUUGACUAGGGGAUAUCCAUUAGGCCAAUGGGGACAGAACCCUCUGGGAUUAGGAUGAGAGCCCUAAGACCUCAGAAUGGCUCAUUUCCUUUCUCAUCAACCCAUUAAAUAAUAUUUAAUUCAAUUCAAAAAAUACAUAUUAAGCAGCCACUAUAUACUGGCAUAAUUUAUGAUCCUGGGGGAUGUAAGAUGAAGGAGACCAAGUCCCCCAAGAAGCUGACAGUUUCCCUAAAAUGGAAGAAAAAAAGUAAACAGGUAAUUUAAAGUGUAUGGUAGGUACAAUUAUUAUUCUUGGGGAGCAGAGGGUAGUUUAAGAGCAGGUGAUAAUUCAAUUAGGCUUUUAAUGAUAAAUAUUGGUGUUUUAUAGUAUCUAGGUGAAAUAGGGAUGCAAUAGUCAUUCUGCUGGAAGAACAACAAAAAAUUUUUGAAAGAAUAGAAGACAUGUACAUUACUGUUUUUACUAAUAGUAAUACAUUUAGUAAAUACAUAUUCACUAUAAUAUAGUCCAACAAUGUAUAAAUAAGAAAAUAAAGAAAUCUGAAAUCCCAAUAUUCAGAGACAAUCAUUCUCACGUUUCUGCUGGAGGAUCACUAUGAGAGUAACACUUGGGGCUUCUCUUCCUCCGGACUCACUCUUCUCUGUAAAAUGAGAAUUGUUUUAUCUGAUACUGAGUAAACAGAGCCUUUGAUAGAUUUUACAUUAUUGAUACUUUCAGUUCCAUUCCUACUUCCAAAUAGCAAGCACAUGUUCUUGAGGUAGACUCAAAGACACAUCACUCUCUGUUCCCACUGCUGGAGCCCAAAUGGACAUGAAAAGUAAAACUCCCAUCUGGGUAGGAGUCAGGUGUGCAGAAUUAGAAUCUCCGUUGGGUGGUUGGUUCAUCCUGAGGUGACACCCUGAUGGAAACAUUGGGAAACCCAUCUGGCCCUGGGACCAAUUCAUGUUCUUCAAUCCAGAGCUUGUAACAUAAAAGCUUAUAGACAUUUUGAUUUCCACCUGCUUUUGUGUUUGUCAAUUGUUUCACAUAUAUUUAUCAUCUAUAAGACAGAAAUAAUCUUGCCUCAGAGAGUUCAUAUAAGAAUUGCUUGUCAAGGGGAUCCCUGGGUGGCUCAGCAGUUUUAGCACCUGCCUUUGGCCUAGGGCGUGAUCCUGGAGUCCCGGGAUCGAGUCCCACGUUGGGCUCCCUGCAUGGAGCCUGCUUCUCCCUCUGCCUGUGUCUCUGCCUCUCUCUCUCUCUCUGUGUCUCUCAUGAAUAAAUAAAUAAAAUCUUAUAGAAAAAAAAAGAAUUGCUUGGCAUGAAACAGUAAUGCUGCAUAAGUAUGCUUGGCACAUAUUUGGUGAGGAGUACAAGUCAGUUCCUCUCCCUUUCAUGUUCUUGCUCUAAAAAACAUUUAGAAUUUUAGAGGCAGAGAUUUCCACAGAGAUCUUGAUCUCCUCUAGCCUCUCUGCUAAUGUGUGAUCCUGUUCCAGACUUCUGUGUUUGAAGGAGUUGAGUGAAAGGUAAUUUACUGUUUUGUAAUUAACCAUAAGUUUAAGAGUAAUUUAAAUCCUUUCCACAGAUGAGAAGUUUUAAUCAUUGGAAAGUUCAACACACCAAACCAUAAUCUGCCUUAUGUAUAAAAUUCCCCAUCAGUGUUCAGGAGUUUGCCUUCGGGAGAUUUAGAGCAAGUCUACCAUUUCUACAACUUGGUUGGUAGUCAUUUGGAUAUCGGGCCUUCCUCCCCCUAGUUUUUGCAGCCAUUCCUUGGUCAGUACUGGACACAUAGUAACUGCUCGGUAUUGAUAAACUAAGCUCCAGUUUUACAUGGGCAACUGUCUACUUAACUUUUAUCUCCAUUUGAAAGGAGUAGCUCCAAAUUAACAUAUUCAAAAUGAUACCCUUGAUUUAC
rnacentral:lncRNA from 1 species